GGCCUGGUGGUCUAGUAGUAUGAUUCCUUCUUAGGGCUUUGAGACAUCGUUUGCUACAUUUGGAGGAGGUCCCGGGUUCAAUUCCCGGCCAGGCCC